UUGAGUUCUUUAAUGACUGAUCAUUUUAUAGUGUAAUCAGUGUAAUAAAAGAGUGUAAUCUGACAGUUCAAUUGAUUUUGGCAAGCAAAUGCAAUUAUAAACGUUUGUUUUAAUAAUAAAGACAGAUAUCUUGGACAGUUAUGGCGGAUUAAAUAAAUGGAUUUUUUACUUUAUGAAGAUUGAUCUCAGGAAUAAUAAUGCUGAUUCAAUUAGCUGAUGAUUUGGUCAAAAAGGGACACGCGCGUGCUGCAGUAAUUAAACCAUCUAUCGAUGAAGUUGAUCAACGCUACAAGAACUUCGGUACCAAUUUACAAAACUCAAAUCAAAGAUGACUUAGAAUGGAAUCCAAUCCAAUGACGGCUAAAUGGAUCUCUCGAUCAACAGAAAUUCUGAUCCGCUUUUGGAAGAGAAAAAAUCAUAGGGAAAGUCUGAAAGAGCUUAAUAAAGAAAAAUGUCGUUCAGCUCAUCGGAAAGAAGAAAACAUAUGUGGAUUUGGAAUCAUGUAUACGAUGUUUUCCGGAGGAGAUUCGAAACGGCCAUGGAAGAGUAUCUACGGGUUUGCACGGCAGAGAAUCGAUGAUAUUCAGCAAACUAUUAGUUCCAUUGUUACAUCUUUCUGUAAAUUCGAGAAACGGGAAAUAAUGUCCGAGGAUACUGGUCAUUGUUUCCUUGAGUUGCCAAGUUCGACAUGUACGUGACUUAUUGUCAAAAUAAAUUCGCGAGUGAUCGACUUUUAAUUGUCCACGAAGCUGGUUCGAAGAUUUACAGCGUCGACUUUGCUGAAUUAUCUGCAGCAAUACUUUAUGCAAUGUUUCAUCAGAAAAUCCAUUGGUGAAGGAAAUAUAUCUGGAGUAACAAAGGACUAAGAUGACUAUCUGUUGCCCAAAAUCUUGUCUUUACGAAAAUAUCAACGCUGCUGUCUAUAAUCAAAAUCGAGAAAAACAUUCUGGAGAUAUUGUUUGACUGUGAGGCAUUUUUACUGGGUUCCGAAGUCAAUAUUAUUUUUCGUACGGUUCAUUCUACUUCUUCACGACAAAAAAAUUUGAUCAAUUGAUAUGGCGCUUGUUUGAUUUUGUGAAUUCAUCGCACAACGAUACCAACAAUCGUCUCGUUCCAACAUCGCUCUGGAUAAAAUAAACCUAUCUAUAGUCGCAUAAUGAAUAGGUUAAUAAAUAUUUCCCUCAAAAAGUAUAAACUUGACGAAAAAAAAUUAUAAAACAAAGUGUUUCAAUCAUCCAAAGAACAUGUGGGAAUUUUU